AAAGGAGAGAGAUACAGAGGGAAAGAGAGAGGGAGAGAGAGAUAGAAAAGGAAAGAGAGCGAGAGAGAGAGAGAGAGAGAGAGAGAGAGGAGUGGGGAGAGAGAGAUAGCUAUAGAGGAGAACUAUCACAGUUACACAUGCCCUGAUCCCCCUUUCUCCCUCCUCCAUAUAUUAUAUCAUAAGUGACGCCUCUGGGAGAACCGCUGACUUCCACUCAUCAUUUAUCAGCCCCUGGAUUCACUCAUUCAAAUAUAUAUAAAAGAUAUAUAAAAAUAAUAUACCUCAAAAAGGUGUCGAUGGGUUCGGUUCUCAGCUGCUGGCUUUAUUCACCGUGUACACUGUAUAAUAAACAGCAUCAGAGCUCUGGGAAAGACAAACGCUUACAACACGGAAGAGUAGCGUACGACCGUAAUACUAGCGCUGCUGAAUUCUCCAUUCUGAUUGGCCGGCAGAGGCUGAUGUUCCUGGGAUAAGGAUCUGGAUCCAGCGAUAUCCUGACCAGGAUGAAGUGCUUGCUGAAAAUGAAUGAAUGAAUAAAUGACUGGCGUCUCAUUUAAGGAGCGAGACGGCGAGAGAUGACUCCAGACUUAUGAAUGACUCUAUGAAGCCAGAGUUCGGAGUGAGUCAAACUUCCUCAGCUUGUUCGCCAAAAACAAAAAAAAAAGACCAUGUACACAAUGAAUUUGGACACUUUUGUAUAAGCAAGCAUGACCUAGAAAAAAAAAACAGAUAGUACAGUGCGACGAGAAGGAAGAAAGUUUGUGCUGCUCUUGAUGAUCGAAGAGCGACUCCAGGAGACGGGAGAGAUCUUCGAGAAGACUUGGACGGAGAGAAGAAAACUGAGAGGGAGAAAAGGCAAGAAAGAAAUUAGAGAUGAGCUAGAGAUAGAAGGAAAAGAAAAGACAUAGAGAGAGAGAGAGAGAGAGAGAGAGAGAGAGAGAGAGAGAGAGAGAGAAACGGGCUUGUUUGCUUUUGCACAGGCGCUGAUUGACGUACUUGCUCACAGUGACUCAGUGAGUGGAUGGAGGACCGUGAAAGUUCAUGUUGGGAAUAGUAUGAUGCGAGUGAAGAGGGGGCCGCAGCCGUUCUGUCUCCUACCACACAGCAUACGGACCGGCAUGUGCACUCGCACGUCACUCCGCUGGCCACGGCAACCGCCGUAGAAACGGCCUCCACUCAUCCCUGCCGCGUGUCCUCCUCCUUCUCCUUCGUCCUGCACUUCGCUAAUAGAAACACAUGAAAGACGUGCGUUAAAAAAACAAAACGAAAAAAAAAGCACACAAUUCAGAGAGAAAUCACAGGGGGGUGAAUAUUUAUGCAAGCUACUGAUAAACAACAGCAAAUUGAGGAACCUUUGACAGCACCAUUGAGAGCAUCCUGAGCAGCUGCAUCACUGCCGGGUUUGGAAAUUACACCGUAUUGGACCGUAAGACCCUGCAGUGGAAAGUGAGGACAGCGGAGAUCACUUGGGUCUGUCUUCCCUCCAUCAUAGACAUUUACACCACACGGUGCAUCGGCAAAGCCACCAGCAUUGUGGAUGACCCCACACACCCGCCUCACACAAACUCUUCACCCUCCUGCCGUCUGGAAAAAGGUACCGAAGCAUUCGGGCCCUCACGGCCAGACCGUGUAAGAGCUUCUUCCCCCAAGCCAUCGGACUCCUCGAUGCUCAAAGACUGGACUGACACCCACACACACACGCACACACACGCACACACAAACACACAAAACAGAAAGCUGCGUUGUGUUUGCAAUUGUUUGAUAUCCAUGAGAGCAGAGUAUUCGUUAAAGGUUAAACAAUAAAGACAAAUUUUCACAGUUUCCUUUGCUCACA
ensembl:lncRNA